UUUUAAAUCAAGUUUUUCACAGUUGCAUGUACUACAGAAUUCAAAACUAUUAGUGAUCCUUCAAAGUAUGAUAGUUGAGGAGUAACUUCUAUUUCCUGAUUUGAUAUACAUGAAUGCUAAAUGCACUGUAGGAGAUCUGGAUGGUCUUGACUGAUAUACAUGAAUGCUAAAUGCACCAUUUAAGAAACAGUGGAUAGCAUAUGUACAACUAUGCUAUUUUGAAGGAUAGCAAAAGUCACAUCCUUUAUUUAUUUUUUUAUUUGAAUUCAAUAGUUGUGAUUUUUUACAUUCACUUGAUUGAAUCUGAAAUGGAUUUUUGUCUUUUUCAGUCUUGAUGCACAUGGUGUUUCAAAAGGUUGUGCUGUUAACAAUUACAAUCAAUUUACUUAUUUUCAUUUCCUUGUUUCAUAGAUUGUUGUUCACAAGAGUAGCCGAAGAGGGACACACUUUCGUCGUGCCAGGCCUCGCCAAAAGGUGUUGUUUAUCCCAACAUGCAUGCAGUUGGAAACCCUGAAACAUCAUAUAAACGUUACUCACUUCGCCAAAAGCUUCGCUCAAUUUCACUCUCAUUGGAUGCGCUCCUAGAUUAUAAUGACAAGGAUAUUGAGGAACCAACAUUUGAGGUCGAAACAUCACUUUUUGCAAUGAGUAUGAGGAGACCUCCUGCUUCCCUAUUACCCGAACUUGAUACCUCCUCUUGCAAAUUAGAUCUAGUAAAUGAAAUUGUAAACAGGUCCUCGCCCCAUGCCUCCACAUGAUGCCAAGGCAGAAAGCUAGUCCUGAUAAUAUGAAGAAAAAUGAAGGGAGGGUAACUACUAAUGUAUGGGUUCCAGGGAAUACCAGGAAUCCUGAAACAUAUGUUUUAAAAGACCAGGAGUCGCUACAACGUGUUUGUCGAUUUACUGGAUGUCUUUCUACUGUAGCUAUUCUCCCAAGUGAAACUACGAAAAAGAUUGUGCUGAGGCUACAAUGCCAGAGCUGCAAACAUGUCUCCCAACACCCAAUUUAGGCAUAGGUGGACUGGUAGAUAUGAAGCCCAUGUGUGGGACAACAGCUGCAAGAAGGAAGGCCAAACUCGAAAAGGAAAGCAAGGUCAGUAAAACAAUAGGGGGAUAACCAUUUUCAGCAUUGUUGGUUUUUCCCUUUCGCUUUUCCCUUCUUUUUUUUUCUUUUGGUCGAGUUUUUUGAAUUGUUGGCCUGACUGCUAAGAUACGUGGUUUGUCUGGUUUUUUACAUCUACAAUUGCAAUCCAAUCGAAUGCCUAGCAGUUUAUUUGGGUGAGCCUUCUCUUUCAUUCCUUCCCAAGUUUUUGAAAUUUUCUUUAAUCAUCCAAUACAACAUCCUGUUUAUUUAUUGUACCUUUUAUUGCCAUUUGUGGAUUUUAGGAGGGUAUGAUAAUGAAGAGAAAGCUGCAAGAGCUUACGACUUAGCGGUGCUCAAGUAUUGGGGACCUUCAACUCAUAUCAACUUCUCGUUAGAUAACUACCAUGGAGAACUUGAAGAAAUGAAGAACAUGAGCAAGGAAUUGUUGGAUUAUAGAAGCCUGGAAAUGAAAUGUUGUAUUGAAAUUGAAAUUAAAAUUGAAAUGUAUACUAGAAAAGAAGGAAAAGAUUAUUGUGUGAAUCAUUCUAUUAUCUUUUUCUUCUAUUUGUGUAAUUAAUUAUUUGGCAUAUAAUACAAGUAGAUUACAUA